rnacentral:rRNA from 1 species
ACGAACGCUGGCGGCGUGCUUAACACAUGCAAGUCGAACGGAAAGGCCCCUUUGGGGGUACUCGAGUGGCGAACGGGUGAGUAACACGUGAGUAACCUGCCCUUGACUUCGGGAUAACUUCAGGAAACUGGGGCUAAUACCGGAUAGGAAUCCUUGCUGCAUGGUGGGGGUUGGAAAGCUUCGGCGGUUUUGGAUGGACUCGCGGCUUAUCAGCUUGUUGGUGGGGUAGUGGCUUACCAGGGCUUUGACGGGUAGCCGGCCUGAGAGGGCGACCGGCCACAUUGGGACUGAGAUACGGCCCAGACUCCUACGGGAGGCAGCAGGGGGGAAUAUUGCACAAUGGGCGGAAGCCUGAUGCAGCAACGCCGCGUGCGGGAUGACGGCCUUCGGGUUGUAAACCGCUUUCAGCAGGGGCGAAGCUUGUGGUGACGGUACCUGCAGAAGAAGCACCGGCUAACUACGUG